AACCUCUGCCCUCCAGGUUCAAAGGAUUUUCCUGCCUCAGCCUCCUGAAUAGCUGGAAUUACGGCUUCAGAUCCAAAUGGUAUGCUAGCAUUCUCUUCCUAGCAGUCCACUGUCAAGACUUCACUGUUAGAAGAAGAAUCACACCAGAAUUAAGGUCAAAUGGAUUAUCUUAUUCUUAAUUGCUGAAAAUCACACCUCAUUGAAAUUCACUUCAUAACUGAACCAUGAAUUUUUCAUCAAACAUACUUUUGUGUUUCUCCUCCUGGCAUUCUUUAUGAGGAACUUCUUUUUGGAGCUCACUGACUUCCUGUUCUAAUUUGGUCCAGUUAUUUUCUAGAAUUGCUACACGACUGUCAUCCUGGGACAUCCUUCUGCUGGAAUCUGGGAGAGCUUACAACUUUUCAUAUCCUCUCUUCUUCUUUUGUGUUUUUCACCCUGAAGUGUACAAAGUCAAAUGAAUUUCCUAG
rnacentral:lncRNA from 1 species